AAACGUUAAUGACAAAAAAAGGCAAUAAAAUGUAAAGAACAGUUAUAUUUUCUUUCAGAGUCGGGUCAAUACAUUUUAGUAAGAAAGAAGAAUUGCUGAUAAUAUUUUCUUCUCAGUGCUGUUUGACCAGCAUAAAGCUGUUGUAUGUUACUGUAUGUUGAACCUGACCUGUUACCUGUUUAUUACAGUUUUUUCUGACGCUAUGGUACUAUUCUCACAAGUACGGGGUAAUAUCUCACUACCUUAAGUACAAAUAAACCAACA